rnacentral:misc_RNA from 1 species
UCUCCGUUGGUGAACUAGCGGAGGGAUCAUUACAGAGUUUUUAACUCCCACACCCAUGUGAACUUACCAUUGUUGCCUCGGCGGGGCCUACCCUGUAGCUACCCUGUAGGGUGGUUACCCUGUAGCGCCACGCCGGUGGAUUUUCAAACUCUUGUUAUUUUUUGUAAUCUGAGCGUCUUAUUUUAAAUAAGUCAAAACUUUCAACAACGGAUCUCUUGGUUCUGGCAUCGAUGAAGAACGCAGC